GACGUAGGGGGCCAGCGUUGUUCGGAAUUACUGGGUGUAAAGGGUUCGUAGGCGGUGCGGCAAGUCGGGAGUGAAAUCUCUGGGCUUAACCCAGAGGCUGCUUCCGAAACUGCUGUGCUUGAGUGUGGGAGAGGCGCGUGGAAUUGCAGGUGUAGCGGUGAAAUGCGUAGAUAUCUGCAGGAACACCCGUGGCGAAAGCGGCGCGCUGGACCACUACUGACACUCAACUACGAAAGCGUGGGGAGCAAACAGG
rnacentral:rRNA from 1 species